rnacentral:rRNA from 1 species
GAACAUGGUUUGCGUCCUUUAAUACCCCACCCUAAUAACCCCUUAACUCCCGGGCAACCCCCACAUUUUUGUAGUCACGGCUUGUUCCGGAAUCUCAUAGAGGUGAUCAGGGGGGUUCUUCGGAGGGGUUCAGUAAAAAACCCGCGGACGCCCGUUUUUGACGGGGUGAGCCCGGGGUUGAGCAAUAAAAAACGGCCAUUUUCGUUUUUAAGCGCGGCCGCUGGGGUACGGUGUGGGUCGCGUGGCCCCCGAGGAUCUCCGGAUUAGAGCGGAAAAACACCCGCGACCGGGUGGUCGGUCGUAGAGAGAGGACAAUUGAGUGAAAACACCCGCGACCGGGUGGGUGUACGAGGGAGGAGAGAGAAAGGGAGGUGUGUGUGCCCGUGGCUUGAGGUGGCGAGGGCAGGGGCGGCGAACCGUGCGGAGUCGGAGCAGCUGCGGCCUCUGGACGAGCACGGGCUGCGGCUCCGCCGCCGGCUCCUCCGGUGGUGGAAGGCGCGGGCAGGAGGCGCGGCGCCCGCAGCGGCAGCGCCGGAGGUGCCGGCGACAGCUGGACACGACGACUCGAGGAGGAGGCGUAGAUCGGUGUGGGUUAGGCCAUGUUUCGGGGAUCGUCUCGUCUCAUCGUAGGUUAAGGUUGGGCUCGAACUCGAACCCGUCUCACACUCUUCGUUCGUCUCCUGCUACCCGUGCGGCUGCCGCUGACAUCGCCGAGACCGCGACGACGACGACGACACGCAGAGGUACAGGAGGAACAGGCCGACGAACCGCCGCGUCAUGUUCCACCCGCCCGACCUGCGCACCCCCUAGGGCGGCAGGUGGUUCGGCCUGCACAUGCACGCCACCCGGUUCAGGCAGGGGCAGUUCGAGCCGCUGCGGGAGAAGAAGGAGAUGGGCGGGUCGGUCCUGUCGCGGCAGGUCCAGUGGCGGUUCCGGAAGCGGCGGACGCUGCAGAGGCUGGGCGACGAGUUCGGAAGGCGCCUGCUGAGAUCGCCGAGACGGCUUAGGCGCUCCUGCUGCUCGACGCGGCCGAACCGGAGGAGCGGAUGACCGAGCGGAAAGAAGCAACGGGGCGCCGACGUCAGGUUCCCGCCGCUCGACGGAUGACGGCCUCGCGCACAAGCGCGAGGAGAGGCCGGGCGAGGGAACGCGACAGCGGAGGCCCGCCUACCGGCUGCUUCCGCGACGGCGUGACGCUGCCUUAGCGCCGCCGGCAACGACGAAGACAACCGCUGAGGUUACCCAAUGUCCGUCUCGCGCCGCUGUUCGUGUUCUACCGGCACCCGCGCCCGCGCGAGACCCCGCGUUGCUCACCUUUAAAAAGGCGAGGGUCAGUUAAAAAAAACGACCGUCGGGGGUUCACUGCUUUCUUUACGGAGGAUCCUUGCGUUGCCGACCUCUACGAGAAUCGUUUGUUAUGACCCUGUGCAGAAGCACCGGCACCGGCGCGUUUUUGGUGACCCGUAGCCGCGUGCUUGCGUCGUAGGAGGGGGUGGUGGUGGUGGAAGGGUUUCAGGUUUGAGGUUAGGGGAACGAGCGGUUUGGGGGUAAGGGGUUAUGUUAGGGAUGAGGGUGGCGCUAAAGGUUUACCAUUGCGGCUCGCGGAGGAAGAGGCGGCGCGAGCAUCAGCUCCUAAAGGGUAGCAACCUCUCCCUACUGUUCUACCUCUACGGUGGCCUGUUCGUGGCCCUCCACAAGCUGGAGCGUGUCACACCGCGGGCGCGGAAGGCCCUCGCGGCGAAGCUGCUCCGAUAAAGUAAAAUAAGAUUUCGAGUGUUAAACUCUAGUCCUCUAGGCUAAUAGGAAUCGUUAGCUUCAAGACGAAAGACAAACUAUUCAGUUCAAGACUCCCUCUCUAGUCGUCGGCUGAGUCUCAUGGUCGGUAACUUACCGGAACUAGGAUGUUGUGUACGUCUCAAUCGAGACUUCCUACGUCUCUUCCAUCAUUGAUGGGUGCCAUUAAGAGGAUCCGGUAUAGAAGAGUUCCGUAUGCGUGAAUAAGACGACCUCGCUAUAGUCCUCCGUGCACUCAGGGAAGACCGACCAGAAGUUCAACUAGGGGAGUCGGUAUAGGACGUUUGGACGGAGUCACUAGACCUAUCUUCAUGUUUACGACGUCGGUCUCGUUCUACGGGUUCCGAUCUAUCCUGACUACUAAAACUCACGUGUAACACAAAAUUUGAUAACAAACUUGGUCAAUGGUGAGGUACACCCGUGUGCAAGACAGCGAGAACAAAUGUAGUCCGUUACCUAGUGCCGUUAUUCACGGGGUACACAGCCUGUCAAGAAAAAUAACCAGGUUCUUGAAUAGGAUAUUCGCAUUGUAACUCGUUGUAUUAAGUCUUUUUAAAGGGACUUCUUAUACGACUCUCCUCCAGUCUUGUACUUUUAUACUGUAUACGUCCGUAACUAAACUACGGAGAGAAACAAUACCUACAGCAUAAUGGUACGGUUUUCUACCGUGACUUGUAUAAACUUGGAGCGAUGUCCGACUACCAUUCCUCUUAUUACCUUCCCUUAGUAGCCUACCCUUACCAACGAUAACUAAGACGCUGCCCUUGAUAUCGACUGACACCAACACUCCACCUUUAAGAACUCACGCUCGGUGAAGGUCUACCUGCAAAAAUAGAUCUCCACCUUCCAAGUGCUGCCAAAGCAUAGAACGCUAGGACCCUACUUCUACCCAUGGCACAACGACUUUAACUUACCAAGGUUCUACAAAGAAAUGGUCUUCCUAGUGUUCUCUCUUCUCUAGAUUAACUUUCCCGGUUACUCCGAAGUCUUGACCGAUCCCGCAUGUAAUCCGCAUGGUCUCUUUGGUAUUCCGGACACCCGGCCCGUUCUGUGAAACUAGAACUCUCGUAAGGACGUGGUGUCCUGGGACUCUUCAAGUCAAAAACCGAACAGUUGAACUAAUUAAACUCCGGUAGCCUAUUUGAUCUUGAUAAUGCGGAGACACUAUGAGCCCUCUCUUAUAGAGAAUCGGAAUCUAACGACCCGUUACGUCUUGUUCCAACGGCAGAUGUCAUUGCCUAAAUAUAAACCGAGUGUUGGUAACUGAUUGUUACAAGUAAACAUUAUAAGAAAAUAGUGUAUAAGACUACGAACACUUUAAGAAUACUAGAAAUAUAUACAAGAAUAUAAGAGAAUGGACGUCUUUUUUGAUAUAUUAAGAACAUG